ensembl:lncRNA
UGAGCGGAGAGCACCUCUCGAGCAGAGCUGCACAGAGCCGCUGCUGCCAUCCGCGGGGCGCUGCUGCCACCUCGCGUCGCGCUGAGCGGGAACAGAGGGACGCGGGGACCUUCCAACGGGGCGGCCCCGGCCCCGGGGCGCUGCUUGGAGAACCAGGAGACAAAAUGCCUGCAGAGCUAUUUCCAUUUUUUGAAAGAACCAGUCUGCUGCACCUCAUGUGUGUGACAUGGAGAACAUCAGUCAUUUAGAGCCAAACUGCAGCUGAAAAGGUCACAGUCACAGUGUCAGAUUCUUCCUUUCUGCAUUAAUUCCUCCCAUGACAUCCUAAAUGAGAAUUUCUACAGCAGCGUGUUGGGUCCUUCAGAAGUCUGAUCAUAGCUUUCUGAGACAUCAUUCUGCAAUCAAGACCUCCCACACAGCUAACUGUACCAGCAGCAAGACUGUGAGCAAGUAGA